rnacentral:lncRNA from 1 species
UUUAAAACAAGUUUUUUUCAAAUAAACUAAAUAGUUAAUAAAGGAAUAAAUGGGAAGGAACACGAAAGAUCCUUUUUUUGGCUCUUUCUUUGGCCCUAUUCGAUCUCUUAUCCCUUUUGUCCAAUUUCUAGGAAAAAAGUAUUCUAACUUUAUAAUUGUAUAUACCAAGAAUUUAAGUGUUGUGGCACAAACCCAUGUCGGAAACUUACCGAAACAGUACAAUACGGUGCGUGUCGGACCGUGCCGAUACGUGUCGGUCACAAAAAAUAUAUGUGUCGUAAUGAAAUGAAAUAUUUAUUUUCUUUAGUAACAAAUAAUGCCAAUUAUUUAUUAUGUAUUUUUAUCAAAUUUUUUAAACUUUAUCGAAAAAAUUACUUACUAAUUUUAAGAAUAGAGGGUUUUGAGUUGUGCCAUCGGCACGGGGUCUGUAUCGUGCCGAUAUCUUAUUGACACGAUAUGGCACGGUGAAUACGGUACAUGCCGAUGAGCAUUUUAAUCCUUGAUAUAUACACAUAUAUAUAUAGUCUUUUUUAAAAUAUUAUAAAUAUAUAUUUUAAUAAGUCAAAUUUAGGCUUUGAGGCCUUUGAAGUAUGAUUUUAACAAUGUUCCAAAUAAUUUGCUUGGAAUUAAAAUAUUACCACUUCUAAAAAAAAAUUAUUAAUUGGGUGGACCCACUGUUGACCAGCCAUCUAACUAGAAACUAUUGAGUUAAAUAUCGGCAUUUCACUUAACGAAUCUAUAAAGAAAGAUAAAUUCUAAUUAAUUAAUUAAUCCUUCCUAAGACAACUAAUUAAUUACUAAUUAAUUAUGCUCCUCCCCCUCCCCCCAAUAAAAGGGGGGUCCACACCACUCACUGCCUCUACCUGCACCAAGACAGUUUUUUUUUUUUUUUUUUUUUUGAGGGAAAACACCAUGCACCUAGACAGGCUCAUGGCCCGAAAUUCAACCAAUGGGAAAAGAUACCAAAAAAAAAAAAAAACCUAACACACCGUUAUCUGUUCGUUUUACCGUUCAAUUCUAUGCAACAACUAAAUUAACCACCAACAAUUCAACUAAAAAUACAAGGGUCACCGACCGUCCUAGAGUAAGUAGCAAAGGGCUUGGUGGUUGGUACUCGAGACCCAGUUUGAAUCCUAGUUGAUUCACAUGACCAGUAAGUUUAUUUUAAAUGGAAAUAAACGACGGGUAGCGUGCUAUCUAUCUCUCAAAAAAAAAAAUAAUACAAACGGGUCGGAUCUGGAAGCUCAGGGUGUUUACCUCCCCGCUCCCUACGUUAUUUUUUUUUUUUUUUUUUUUCGAUUGAAACAACUUGUUUGGCCUUCACUAUAGCUCCAGGUUGAGAGCAGAUUUUUAGUGAAUUGAGACGGAUCAAAGGAAUGCAGGGGUUUUUUUUUGCCUCUAGCUCCGUUUUUGAAGCGAGAUGAAUUAUUCCUUUUCUUAUAUUUGGCCUCUACUUAUCGCCUCAUUCGGCAUGGAGUAGAGUGAGAGCUCCAUCAACCCCCAUAUAUCCAUUUGUAUCCCUAAGUUUAAUCUGCCUACAUGAUUUAUUAUUUUAUUUUACUAUUGUGAAAACAUAUAUAUGGACACCCUCUCCACUAUAAGUCAUUUUAAUUGAAUUAGGCAACUAAAUUUUUUUCUUUUUAAGUGACAUCUCAUUAAUUUGUAUACGUUGUGAUUUAAGUCAUAAGUCAUUUAGUACCAAUUAAACUAAUAAUAAUACAAUAAUUUGAAGAGAUUAUGCUAUAUUUAUGAACAAGGCCAUUUUGCAUAAAAAAAUUUACUAGUUUUGCAUUUUUACAAUGUGUGCCAAUUUUUUCGCUUUUCCAUAUUCGAAUCAUUUUUUUUUUAAGACCAAAUAUUCAUAUUCUCUCUCCUUGCUUUCUUUCUCCUCCUGCUUCCUUCACUACUCCUCCUCGUCCCUCUGUUGCCCCUGUGCUCCUUCCCUAUCUAGCCCACAAGUGUGAGGACGAUGACAAAACUUGACUCGCUCGUCACCAUGGCCAAUCUUGGCGUUCUCUGGCAAGGGAGCUGCGAGAGACGAGGGUGACACAGCUCAGAGCUUGUCGGAGACGAAAGGUGGCAGAGGAGAAGGGCGAUGAUUGCUGGCGAAAAUACUCUCGAAGCAAGUAUGCGAGUGUGGCCGCAAUGGGGAGGUGGUGGUGGUAACAAAAGAGGAAAAUCUAGCGGAUAAUGCAAUGUUACACUAUUUAAAAAAGUUGCACUAUUUAACGAUAAGUUGCACAAUUUGAUAAUUGUAAAAUAGCACAACUUUUUUUGUCAAAUUGUACAACGUAUGGAGUAGAGCUACUAUACUAUCGGAAUAUAGAGGAUCUGGUGUUAGGAUUUCCAUAUAUUGUGGCCCAAUUAAUCAUAUUCAAAUCUGCAUUUAUUAUAAAUAAAGAUCAAUCCUAAUAGAUAUAGAACUACUUGAUAUGGUAUAUUUUAUCCCUAUCCCAUCUAUUUUAAAUUUAAAUAGAAUCAUAAUCAGACUUUGAUGGGAAGUUAAUCUGGACUCUAUAUAAAGGGGUAUUGGUCCUGCCACCUUUUUAUACGUAUUCUGGUGAAGAAUUAUCAUCGAUUCCACACCAUAGGGUAGAGUGCAUGAGAUAGCAGGAGAAACCAAAUUACCUAAUUCGGUUCGUGAUUUACAGAUCAUAGCCGAAUUUCUCGCUUCCGCAGAUUGAUCAAGAAUUUAUUCUUUAUGACGCUCUGUGAGUUAUUUUAUCUUAUUUGAUCCUAGAUUUUGGUAUGUAUUUAAUUUGCUUCUUGUUUUACAUACCUAGAAAAUCUAUCAUUUGGUUCUUCCGAUUUUUUGACCCUUAGAUCAACCUCUUUGAUCAUUUCUAACAUUUGGCUUAAUACUAUUAUCCUGUGAGGACCACUCAACUCUAGUGGGUACUCAACCUCAGGGGGGACCAUAUUCAGCCCAACCGUACAAUUUUUGAUCCAAGGGUUAAAAAGUCGAAAGUAUUAAAUCCUCUAUGCUUCCAAUAGCAUAGUAGGUCUACACCAACAUAUGUAUAAAUAGCGCAACUUUUUUAAAUAGUGCAAUAUCACGUCGUCUGCCAGAUUUUUCUUUCUCACUAUCGUCACCGCCUAACAGUUGUUGGCCACGCCUGUGGACCCACUCGCGAACAUGCUUCAGAAGUAUCCAUGACCAUUCACAACACUCUCCUCCUAGGCCACCUUCCUCUCUGCUCUGGCAAAGCUCUGAGUAGCCACAACGAAAAAAAUACCCCAUUUUGUAAAAAUACAAAAUCGAUGAAUUUUUUAUGAAAAGGCCUACGCACAAACAUACAAACUUGCAUUUAGAAAUUAAUUACUUAAUUGGUUUGAGCUCCUGGAUCUCUUCCUUGGUUUUUUGUGAUUCACAAAUUAUGAGCAUAAUAAUAAAAAAAAAAGCUUUGUACUCCUAAUAUUCUCAACAUCAAUGAGCACAAAUGCAUAAUUAUUUUCAGUCAUGCGAAACACUAUAGACAAGUGAAACUGCACUUACAACUUAUUUGAAAGAAAUCUCACCAAACAUAAAAGGGUUGGAACGGCAACCGCAAACCAGCAUGCAGUAGUUGUACGUCCUCUCAUUAAGAAUGUCAUUCAAUUUUUCAUCAGAAAAACACAACUGUGUAUUGCCAAUAAAUCUUCAUAUUAAAUAUGUCCCCCUACCCUGUCUCCAAUCUCUAGAUUUGAAUUUCCAUAUCUACCAUAGACAUUAAUUUGUCUGUAAUUUUGUAGCCACUUUUGUUUGCUUUCUAUUGAUCAUUUAGUUUCCACCAAGCAAACACAGGAGUUUUGAAAUUAAUUGCAUCUUUUAUAAUGCAUCAUUUAGUUUUGAAAUUAAAUGCAUCAUUUAGUUUGUUGAGGAAAAGGUCUCAAAACCAUCACAACUUUGUCCAAUUUAAAGCAUGCACUCCAUUUGAACUCUUAAAGUAUUACAAUUUUCCAAUUAAAUAAUGCUUUUAUUUCAAUUCACUAUAAAGUUUCUGUGUUACCACCACCCUGAAUCCUAGAAUAUAUGAUCGGGAUAUGGUCUUUUUCUUAUUAGAUUAGAACAUAUAGUUUAUCUAACAUAUCUACUAGAUUAGAAGUAUCUUUCGAUUUAAUCUAUUUUUAUCAUAUUAGAAUUAUUUAUUUAUUUAUUUUGAGAGAGAUAGGUAGCACGCUACCUGCUUCGUUCAUUUCAUUUAGAAAUAAACUUAGCUAGAAAUGUGAAUCAACUAGGAUUCGAACUUGGGUCUCAGGUACCAACCACCAAGUCCUUUGCCACUUGCUCUAGGGACGGUUGGUUAUCAUAUUAGAAUUAUUAUAGUGAUUCUAGACCUAUAAAUAAGAAACUCUUCUCUUUCAAAAUCAAUGGAUCAAAUUUAUUAAUAAAAAAGUUAGUUUCUUUUAAUGGCUUCUAACAUAGGCUAAAUUAGAAGAGGAGGUUUCUCUUUAAUUUCCUUUGGAGCAAAUUAAGAUGUUAAAUCUAUCUAUCGAUUUUAAAGUUAUAGUUAGGAGUGGAAAAUUAAUUCUAACAAUUUGGCAUUAGAACCUUUGUGGAGUCUAAAGUCGAAGACCUUAUCUUCUCUUUCACAUUCACAUUUGAUUCGAGAUUAGAGUUUUCGACGCACUCAACAUCUUGCGUACUCUCUUCUCCAAGUGAUCAAAUCUAGGGUUUCAACCUACAUCAACUUUUGCUUAGCAUGAGUGCCUAAGUGAGAGAAUUUGAGCCUGUUCGAGUCGUUAAGAGCAAUUAAAACCGAGUCAUUUCUUGAUGAACGAGUUCGUUCUUACUUAAUUUGAGCCGUCUUUAAUCCAGCUAAGUGCUCUCUACUUAAUAAAUUUAUUAAAGUUACAUUUUUAUUAAAAAAAUUCCCUUGCAGGUCAUCUAAAAGAGAUUUUGGAAACUCCAUUAUUUCGUUUUUAUAAUGAUGAAUUAAUCAGAGAAGAGUAAUAUCGAAUGAUCUAUGGCAAAAGUAAAUAAUCAACCAAUUACAGGCCAUGGAGCGACGCUAAAAUCCAAGCCUUAAAAGCUUUUAUAUCACAGAUGAAGUAGGAACUUGAAAAUUUUUAAGCAAGCUCUCAGUUAAAAGACGGGGAUUCAAUAUCAGCGUCAGAAAUACGAUUGUGAGUCAAUCCAAAUAAAUCUCAGUUGGUUGAUAUUUGGUCUAAAAUUUGUAAUGGUGACGAUCUAACUACUCCGCAGACUAUCGUUCGACAAACAAAAUUCCUAACUCCACACAGCCAGGCAUUGCCUGAUAGAAUUUGGUUAGAUUUGUAGUUGAUUUUUUAAUUGAAUAAGAAUUAAUAUUUAAAUCUUUUAGAGAUAUAUUAAGAUUUAUAUAUUAAUUAGAGUAUAAAUCUAACUAGAUUAGAAUAAAUAUUUAAAUCUAUUGGAGAUAAAUAAAAUAUAGAUUUAAAUAUUAAUUGAAGUAGAAAUCCUAAUUAUUCUAGGAUUUGGGUACAUCUUGGGUGGAGCCUUUUAUAUAGGGCCAUGGUAUGCAAAUUGUAAUGUGCCUAGGUACUAACCAGCGAGAGUGAGCCUUUUAUUGGGUGGUGUGCCGAGAGAGGGAGCUUAGGCAUUGCAUACAUCUAGUGCACGGGUGCAUGUGAGAGAGAAAAAAAGAGGUCUUCUUUUAUGGGUUUAUAGAAGACGACAGAAGAAUAUGAAAAAUUCAAAAAGAUGACUCGGGUUGUAACUACUCUAUUACAAAGAGUAAUCAAGUAUAAUCUUCUCUUAUUUAAUGAAUCUUAUUUUAUUCGCAUAAUUUUCGUUUAGUUGUUUUCUCUCUUUUAUGAUUAUAUCAGAGCUUGUGCUGAGGAGACGGAUUUACGAUAAAAAUUCGAUUAGACGCUUCCAUUGCAAAAUCCCAACAUCCGGUACCGGAUCAACAGCAGUCAGUAUCGGAGCGGGUUGCAGAUUCUCAAUAUCUAGUAUCAGGGCGAGUACCGGAUUCCCAACAUUUCCUCCAUCAGUUCCUCUACCGUCGCCUCCGCUGGUUGUUCCACCAUCGUCGCAACCAUCAAUCAUUCAUUCACUAUUGCCUUGUCCGGUUGUUUCUCAGUCGCUUCCUCUAGCAGUUGUACUUCCAUCAACACUUUUACGUAUCAUUCCUUCGGCGUCGUUGCUAUCUAUAUCUGUUUCAUUACUUUAUUCAUUAUCGGAUAUGCCAAAGAUGUUACCGCGGUCAGUUCCUCCGAUUUCUCUUACUUAAGAAGACAUUGAUGUGGUUUUGUCAAUGAUUAAGUUGAUUGCACAAACAAAAUUAUUUGGACUUAAUCAUAAACUAUUGUACUAUAUUGCCUCACUCUUUGAGGAUAAAGUGUGUUUCAAGGGAUAAGGAUUGUUACGAUCACCCUAAAUUCUAGAACGACCUGAAUAUGAAAUCUUUUUCUUAUUAGAUUAAGAUUAUUGUGCUAAUUAGAUUAAAAAAUAUUUUAUUUAAAGAUUAACUAGAUUUGGAAUUGCUUUUGAUUUAUUCCACUUUUAUUUAAUUUAUCAUAUUAGGAUUAUUAUAUAUAGUGAUUUUAGACCUAAAAAUAAGAGGUUCUUCUCUUUUGUCAUCAAUAGAUUAAUUUUAUCAAUAAAGUUCUUCUUAAUGGCUUCUAAGUUAGGCUAAGUUAGAAGAGAAGGCCCCUCUUCUUCUUGGAGCGGUUAGACAUCUAAUAGAAACGUUAGGUAUUAAAAUUACAGAUAGAAAGGAGAGAUCAUGACAUUCGAUUUUGUUCAUAGUGGCCGGAUGUUUAUUAGUAACUUAACCACCUAGCUGGCUAAGGGGUUUUUUGUGGAGUGCGAGAGAAUUCUUGUUUUAAGUGGCUAAUUUCAACAUUUUAAAGUUGAGGGUAAACACCCUAGUGGUUUAACGUCACCUUGCCAUUCUAUAAUUUAUAAAAUUGCACUUUAACAUCAUAUAAUUUAUUUUAAUUCGAUAGAAGAAUCAACCAACAAAUAAGAUAGUAAAAUAGCACAUUUUAAAAGUCACAAGAAGGUAAAUUAUAGUAUUUAUUAUAAGAGUAAUGCUUCUAUAUUUGUUAUUUUUCACUACCGUUCAUUUAUUUCUAUUCAAUGGUUUACACUUAAUUUUUCUUCUUUAAAUUGUGACCUGCAAUAAUAGGUCACUUUGAGAGAGGUACCGGUUAUCAGGUACCAAAAAAAUGGAUUCUUUAGUCUUUAAUACGUGGAUAAUUUAAUAAUUUUACUUUCACUAUAUUAUCAAAUAUCUCUUCUCUCUUCGUUUCUUUUUUCUCUCUCUAUCUUUCCUCUUCAUUCAUAGUAGAGAUGUAAAGGGGUUGGAUUCGGGAUGGAUUUUCAAAAAUCUGAACCCAAAUUUAACUAUCAAACCUGAAACUUAAACCCAAAUCCAAAUCCGACGAAUAUUAGAAAAUCAUAUUCACACUCGUACUCGACUUAAAAUCCGAAACCCAAACCCUAACCAGGACCCAAAAACUCGAACCUGAAAUAUUAUUCCUCUUUACAAUAUUUCAAAAUAUAUUCCUAAUCAAUUACCCACAUUCAAAUUUUUUUUUAAAUAGUAAUACAAAAUUAAUGUCUAAGCUAGAAAAAUUUUAAAAUCUUUUUAAACACAUUAAAUAUGUUGAAUUUAAAUAUUUAUCUAUAUUAAAAAAUUUUAAAUUAGUGAUACAAAAUUAAUCUCUAAAUGAGAGGAAUUCAAAAUUUUCGUAAACAUACGUUGAAUUUAAAUUUUUAUCAAUAUUACAAUUUUUUAAAUAAUGAUACAAAAUUAAUUUCUAAAGUAGAAAAGUUUUAAUUUUUAAAAUAUAUUAAAUAUGUUUAAUUUAAAUUUUUAGCAUGCACAAUUUUAUUUAAAAUAUAUUAAAUAUUAGGUUAAAUUACAGAAAAUUUUCUGUCAAUAUCUGAGUUUUCAUUUUCUUUUCCUGUCAUUAAAAAACCUAUACUUUGCCCCCUUAAAAAAUAAAAAAUGUUCACAAGAAGUACACUGUGACAAAAUGACCAAAUUACUCCUCAUCAUCUUCGUCUCCUCUCCAAUCCGAAGCCUCUUCUCCUCCGCCAUGGCCUCUUCUCCUUCCUUCUUUGCGCCUCUCUCGACCCCAAUUCCGACUCUGUUUUCUCCAUUUGCUCCCCCGCUCCUCCAGUACCUAGCUGCCUUUCCAUUUCGGCGACUGUAAGGAGAAAGAUUGGGAUGGACGCGGGCGGAGAGGUGGGCGAGGGCGAAUUUCGGCGACUGUAGGGAGAAAGUUCAGGGUGGGCGUGGACGGAGAGAUAGGCAAUGGCAAGGGCGAGGGUGAGAACAUGUGUGUGGGCAUGGUCAGAGGUGUGGGUGAGGGUGAGGCGGCGGAGGGCGAGGCGGCACAGCCGAGGACGUCGGUGAGAAAGGAUAAGGAUUUCACAGAUAUUUUGAAUAUAAAAAAUAAGACAUAAGUAAAACUCUAAUGAAACACUGAUGGCGGGGACCAAAAUGAAUAUUUUUUAUUUUUUAAGAGAGCAAAAUAUAGGUUUUCAAAAGACAUGGAAAAAAAUGAAAAAGCAAAUAGUGACAGAGAAGUUUUUCGUAAUUUAGCCCUUUUUUUUGAUUUUUAGUAUUAAAAUAAAAAAUUAAUACACAUACAGAUUAUGGUUGUACAGAUAACUAUACAUUUAAAAUUGGAUGUAAAUCUUGCAAAGCUAAUUUAUCACAAUUUUAUAUUCUAAUAUUAAAAUUUUUUAAAAUUUGUCUAAUCUAACUCUUUUUCUCUUUCUCCUUAAUUUAGUAGUGAUCACCACUCCCGAAGCUACAGUAGCAGGUUUUAUCGAGCCAUGGAUAAAAGUAUUAUUUAGUUCCUGCCUAGUUGUUUGUUAGCUAAUUAGAAUCUGGGAUAAAGUUAAUUUCCUCUCAAGCUCUAGAAUUAUCAGUACGAAAUAUCCGGUGUUCCCUUGCGCCUAAUACUAGGGUUUCUGAAACGUUUAACCUCCCCACCCCUCUCUCUCUCUAUAUAUAUAUACCUAAGCAAAGAGAGAAGGGGAGAGAGAACAAAGGGGAGUAGAAGUAUGCUGAAGAAGCAAGCGAAAGAAGAAGCUCAUGAAUGAACGCCACAAUUAAACAUUUCUCUUCGAUCUCCUUGCGUUUUCUUUUAUGUUGAUCGAUUGGGUAAACAGUUGCAGGUUUGGAGGCGGAGGCGGCGCAGAUUAAGGGCGCGAAUCUGAGUGUUGACAGAAGAGAGUGAGCACACAGCGGCGGUCGGCGCCGAGGCGCGGGGGAGAGUGCCGUCCGCUCGCCUGCGUGCUCACUUCUCUGUCUGUCAGCACUCCUCUCCCCCUCUCCUCGCUCACCUCCCCGUUCCUUCCUGCUGCUUGCAGCACUCCUAAUUUUAACCCCUCCCUCUCUCUCUCUCUCUCUCUCUCUCUCUGAUUUUUAUUUCAUUCUUAUCUUGUGUGUGAGAUUUAUGACAGAGAGAGAGGAAAAAACUGAAAGGCGGACAGACUGUACUGCCGAUACGCGUGGGAGCGAGGGAGGUGUGCCGGCUGUCCGGCCCUGAAACGUCCUCUCCGGGCUCGGAUUCCAACGGAUAAGUUCUUAUUAUUGUUGUUGUGUGUAUCAGUGUAUACGCUUGCUCUUUUUCUUUUUAUAGGUUAUAAUUCAUAUCUAUUUCUUUCUCUUGAUUUAGUAGUAGUGCCUCGAAGAAAAAGAUUGAGGCGUGCAGUACAGGGAGCCGGAGAGCGGGACUUUUUAGGGCUCUCUCUCUCUCCCCCUGCAGCUUGUCCGGAUUUAACGGAAAUCACUGUUUGACCAAGUCCUCCUCCUCCGCUCUCUCUCUUUCUCUCCACUUCUCUCCUCCUCUUUACAACUUCCAUAACCUUAUCUUCAUCCUUUUUUUUUUUUUGUUUUUUUGGGUAUUAAUGAUGAUUUUGUGGAACCUUUACCACCUGAUCUCUCAUCACCCACUAUUUCCAUUUCAGAAUAAUAUUUUACUUUUUUCUUUUUGUUUUUUUUGUGCAUUAUCUCAUGCUCUAGCUAGCAAAGCAAGAUCUCUUAUGGAUAUAAAGCAACCACCAUAUAUCCCCCAAGGUAUGUUUCUUGAACCAGCUCUUUUUUGUUUGUCUAAAAUAACAUAUACUGCUUUUGAUGAACUUCUUCAUGCCCAUUGAAUCAUUCCAAUGUCCUCAUUCAGUGUGGUCUGGCUUAAUCCUCUAACUUUAAUCCUCAUUUGACAUUUCAUUCUUCCGUUUUGUUCUUGUUAGAUUAAGCAAAGCAGGCAGUUGUAGUCUCCCUAUCAUCUGAUAUAAGAUGUUAUGGAGAAAGUCUUUUACUUUUCAAUUUACUGGUGGGGAUUGUUCGUUUCUCGUUGAAUAAACGGAUGCGAAUACUUUGACAAAUAUAUCUAAUCGUUGUUCUCUUCUUUUGUUGGAAAAUUCUAUGCCGUGUGCAAACUAGUUUUUAAUUGGAGCAGUUUGUUGAACCUGACCAUUUCUUUUGCGAGUUAUGUGAAGUUGAGUUCUUGACAAUAUCUCUAGCAAUAAAUUUCCCGACGAAAAAGUCGUGGCGGUGAAGAGGGCUAUAGGUGGAAUUGAUCUUUCAUGGGUAAGCGCCGUGCUUUUGUUUUUGUUGAGUUAUGGAUUUUAAGAAGUCUUCAAUUGAUGUCAUGUAUUUAGGGUAUAUUUAGGGUUCUAUAACAAUCUGCAAAAUUAAGGCCAACUACUUCGUCGAAAAUUCUGAUAAAAUGAUUUUAUUGUUUCUGGGGUUCAUUUGGUUGUUGUUUCGGUUCAAAAGUUGAGUUACCUAAUCCUUGAGCAAGUCCAAGGGAACUGUCAAAUCAAACAACGCAAUAGUUAAUGGGGUGUCAAGUGUUAACAAAUAAUUAAGUAUCCACGUACAAUUGAACAAAAGAUUAUGGGAUCCUUACAUCUGUUUCCCUCAAUUAAUCAAAAAUGUUGAACUAUAUAGAAGGGGAUGAUAAAAAGACCAAGAAAGUGAAAGCGAUAUCCUUUUUGUGGGAAUAAAUAUGUCCAGUUGGUGAACUAAAAAUUUAAGCUACCCUGACCAGGCGCAUCGCUGACUUUACUGCCUAGGUGUUUAUUGUCUAUGUAAAUAUAGUUUAUGUUUGAGGUGUAUAUGGGAAGUAUGGGUUAUACAUGGUCUAGCAUCGGGAUUGACUUUUUAUUAACAUCUUUUUUAUAUGCUUUAUAAGUUAAAGGAACCUUUAUUAUUAUGAUAGGGGCUAUCUUUCAAAUUCUUUCUUUAUUCUAUACUGCAAUAAAAAUUUUAAUAAAUUGGUAAAGAUAUAUUACAUAAGUGCACAUCAUCUUUAUCUAACAUAUGAUCUCUUAUGUGUACAUUUUGUAUACAGUAGCAGGCAGUCUUCUAUUUUGAGGGCCAAAUGAUGUUUUUAGCCUUCCUAGAACUAUUCUCUUGCGCCUUCUUUCAAGUUUUUUCCUUUUAACUUCUACGAAUGUAGACUCGGACAUUCUAUUUAGGAGUCCGGCUAGAAUACUAUCGAUAGCACCAAGCGCUUAGUGCUACCGAGUUUUUCGCCGUUAGAUUUAACCCUUUGACUAUUUUUAUUUGUUAGAGUAUACUAUUCCACCAAUAACUCACUCAACCCUUGGGGGCCCACAUCAUCGUAACCGUACAUUUUUUCAUCCAAGGGCCGAAAACCUAAUAGCAUCAAUAGCUUGGUGCUAUUGAUAAUAUUCCAGCCUAGUUCUUCUAUUUAGCCUUUAUAAAGCUUUCUGCUCCGUCUUGUUCCAAUGCCUUUUCUUUUACUUUGUAAAGAGUGUAACUUCGUGGUAUAUAUGUUUGCUCUGAUUACUCUAGAGCUCCUAAUUAAAAGAAAGAAAUCCUUUUCACAAGCUUCUGAAACCAUGUAUUCUCAUGCAGUAGAAAGGAGUUUCCAUUUCUAUGCUAUACUGUCUAGAAAUUUGCCUUUAUGCCAGAUUUCUAUGCGCUUCUUUUUUAUUUUCUUUAACACUUUCGUAGAGUGUCAAAUUAAUAGGCCGAUCGAGUCAUUAAAGAUAGAGGAAUAUAUAGAAGCUACAAAUCCUUUUGGAAAUCUUAUCGAGUACAAUUGGAACAUUAUUUCCAGCUGCAUUAAUUCUUUCGCAUUCUACCUGAGAAACUAAUAAACUAUUGAUCGAUCACCAUUUUCCUACAUUGUCACUACUUCAAUUGGAGUAAAUUAGAGGUUUGACCAUAAUCAGAUGAAUUGUCAGACACUUGUGAGACUCCUUCGGUAUUUCUUGGCAAGUUUAAUUCUCAUAUGCUAUAGCUGUUGAUGUUAUGUUUUUUGCAAUAUACAUCAAUUGCUGUUUUUGGAAUGACACCAACAAUAGUAUUCGUUUUUAGAGUUCAAGUACAAUGAUAGUUCUGCAUUACUGCAAUCUUGAAGAGUAAUCUCUACUUCGGUGAGUCUCUUCUCUCGGACACAUUUAAUCAAGCAGGAUAUACAACUAUUCAUUUAAUCAUUCUCAUACCACACUUAGGUUCUUCAUACCAUUUUUCCUGCUAUUACUUUUCUUCUUCUUUUUUUUCAACUCUUUGGAUAUUUUUCUCUCUUUUUUGUCUUCUUCUUUCAUUAUUCAAUUCAAUUGCAGAAUUUUGUUUUUCUUUUGACAAAGAAAGUUUAGAAUUUUAUAGUGUAAUUGAGCACUUGCUUUUAUUCCAUCUUAAGGUGACUAAAGAUUGUAGGAUAUUUUGCUAGAUGUUCAUUUAUCAAAGGGUAAAAUGAUGAUUUUAUCUUUCAGUUUAAGAUCAAUUGAACUUGCUAACUGUUGUGUAAAUAGUUUAUGGAGGUUUAGUCAGGUGUUCUUAUUAUACAGCCGAAUAACAUUUUGUUUUGACAAAUUACAGAAAAAUAAUUUUAAUCCUGUGAAAUGCUUGAUUAUAGAUAAGAGAGUACAAGUGUAUUUUCUAAGCUAGAAAUAUAUAAACUAAUGAUGUAACAAAAAUUAUGCAAAGAGUUUUAUAAUUCAAAACAUUAAAUACUUAUUCUUAAUUAGUUGAGCAUAUAGUUCUAUCUAAUUAAAUUGGAAUUAAUAUAUAGAUGACAUUAUAUUUCAGUUGGCUAAAAAAACAGCAGAGAUUAAAUUGUCGAUAAGCAUAAAUGUACCACCGGUGACCUUCUAGUGAUAUUCUGAACAAAGGCUUCACAAGCAUGGAUCCGAAUUAAUGGCAUUAAGUAAAACACCUAUUACAAGUAAAGCCACUUCCUCAGCUUUAUAGUAAGAAUAUAAUUAGUAUAUAUGAUUUGAAGUUAAAGUGCUCUAGCUUUUUCAGAGAGGACGAAUUUUAUUAUGUGCUCUCUAGUCUCUCGUAACCAGUUGUCUUGAUAACCGAAAAAGAUUUAGAAACAAUAUCACAUGUAUGUGGCAUAUUUUGCUCGUAUAAUGAAUGCCUACUCCUAUAUGUGUAGUGAACCAUUUAUAUCUAUUAUGGCACCUUUCCCAGGAACCAAAGCGCGCGCGUCUUCCCAUCCUUGGUAGAAACUCAUCUAUCAUGUCUUUGGGGCUUUAAUUAAAUAUCCUAUUUUGUGCAGGUGAAAUGUGAAUGAACUAAAACUUGUUUAUGUAUUUCUUGAUAUAGAAGACUACAAGCAAUUUUUGAGAGCAUGCUUGUUGUGGUAAUCUGAAUAGAGGUUUCUUAUCGGCAUUUAUAUAAAUUCACUACUUCCAAUUAUUUUUUUUCAAAAAAAAAGUCUGCUUUCACACGAUUUGUUCUAUGGUAGGCUGCAAAACGAGAAGUGGGAGCUAAUGAAAGUGAGAUUUAUCCUUAUUGUGGGCUUUGGACGAUGAUUUAAAUUAGUAUAAUUAGGUAAACUUUCUAAGGGGAUUAUUUGAAUAAUUCAUUCAUAUCUAGAUAGUUAGCAUGAAUGAUGGUUAAGAAUGUCAUGUUUUAUAUUUUUAUUUUAGAUUAUGGUGCCCUUGAACAAGUCUGACGCAAUUUGUGUAAAAGUAGCAAGUUGUGCAGUCUUGUGCAGAAAUCAUGCAGUUUUUGUGUUCGAGAAAUAACUCUUGUGCAAUGCAGUUCAAAAUUUGUAUACCGCUAUGCAAAACUCGUGCAACUAUAUAGCACCGCAUCCAUAUAUCUGGGAUAUUGUGUUUUUGUAGACAACUUGGAAAUUUUUUGUUGAGUGUCUUGUACAUGCCUAGGAACUUAUGUACAUAGUUUUUUAGGUGGUCUUGAGCCUUGUGUUAUUUUGGAGAUUUGCAGUAGCAUGUCAAAAAAUAUGCACCACCUCACAUAAAUGGUCAAGGAAGCUUAUGAUUUUGAUUUCUACUUUCUUUUAGGAAGAAUGAAUUUUCUUGUAUCUUGCUCCCAAUGAUGGGUUCCUAGUGAGAGAAGAGUUGCUUCAUCGUCACUUUGGUGGAUUCCUUAUGGUGGCGAGUUUGCUCGUGUCCAAUGUGGUGGAUUCUACGGGGGACCAAGUAUUUAUCUGGCCGUGCUUGACCUUUGCUAGCUCUCCAAUCUUUUGGCAUUAGAGUAGCAUUAGGGCCCUGGGUUCAUGAUGGCCAACACACGUAGGCAUGGCCUGCAUGUGUGGAGGAUGCUCUAGCUUGUGAACACAACUUGUGGGACAUCAAGGUGGAUGACUUGUAGAGGCAAGUGCGACUAUUUGAAGAACAACUUGCUCGCUAUGAAUGUUUUGAACAUAAUGAUUCCUACCAUGGUUCAGAAUAUGAUUUAUCAAGCCAAGUUGAGAGGAUGAUUAACCCCUUUCAUGCUGCUUGAAGGUAGGCAAAUGUUGUGUCAGAUCGUUGGCACUAACUAUUAAUCUCAAAAGCUUGAGCUGUAAGAAAUACAUAACGAAUUCACUUAAAGCGUACAGACACAAUACCCACGGGUCUCGAUUGUGACUCGGCCCAACCAGCCUUAUGUCACUUCAAACAUGACUCGGCCUAGCCCGGCCUCCAACCAUUUGGUAUGUGACUCGGCCCAGCCAAGCCUUCCGCCGCAAGGCAGGAUGCUGACACCUUUAAGUCAACAAUCCCCACACCUCAGCACUAGCACAAAUCCACAGCAUUCGUGAAUUGAAUCUGUGACCUUGCUCUGAUACUACUUGUCGAAUUGUUGGCGCUAGCCAUUAAUCCUAAAGGCUCGAGUUGUUAUAAAUACAAAACCAAAGCGUACAGACAAAGCGCCCACGGAUCUCAAUUGUGACUUGGCCCUACUAGCCUUAUGCCACUUCGAACAUGACUCGGCCCAACUCGACCUCCCUCCAUUUCAGAUAUGACUCGGCCAAUUCAGCCUACUUCCACAGGGCAGGAUGCUGGCCUCUUUAUGCCAACAUAGUGAAGAGGCUUCCCAAUAUUAGCAACCUUGGAGGGACAAUUAAUGGGUUUCACCAUGAUAUUGACAUCAGUGUCAAGAUCCCUGAAUAUAAAGGAAAGAUUCAAAUAGACAAGUUAAUUGAUUGGCUUUGUGCCGCAGAUCGGUCGUUUGAACACAAGGAUUUGAAGAUUGUUUGUUAUCAAGUUUAAAAUGUAUGCUUCUAUUUAGUGGGAGCAACUCAAACUUUGUUGAGCACAUUGUCAUGGCCUUAGCUUUUUUGCUUGCAAAGUCCCUGCUGCACCCACCUUUCUCUACAAAGAUGGAUGAACCUUACUCCUUGUUGCUAGCUUGGACCUUCGCGUCCUACGACUAAGUAUGCAAAGGGAAGAAAAAAGAGAGAUAGAGGUUUCAUAUAAAAAACUAAGUACUCUCAAUUACUUAGAAAAAGAAGAUUACAACACACACACACACACACACACACACACACACACACACUCUUGUUGUAUUUGGCCUUAGCCAUCCCCACAAUUUAUAGAUCUAAGAUACAUUGAAUCUAGCCCACACUAACUCACCCAUUAAGCCUAUAUUAACUCACCCGUUAAUACAUAGUAAAGACCCCUCAUAAAUGCUAAGUUAAUUCAAGAGUUAUCCAUGACCCUUGGACUUUGCUUGGUAGUUUUUUGAAGGCUUAACAACAGCAUUUUGUAACCCCCCUCUCCUAUAUAAGGGCUGGAGUCGGACCUCCUUGACAACCUGCUCGAUUUAGUGAAGUUGGGCCAGGGACUCGAGCUGCGCAGGAAUUCUUCUAAGUCCCUGACAACGUGGAGGCAAAAGCUAAACUUCAAACUAGGAAGAAAAUAAAGAAAGGGUUUAAAAAGUUCUUAUCGGAAAACUAUUUGCAAGAUUUUUUUUUCUCGAGUUUCACUAUUUCUGGCAAGAGAAUCUCUUAGUGGAGGCACAUUCGGAGGGUAUCAACUUUUGAUGUGUUGCGAUAGUUUUGAUCCUGGGGAGCAAACCAUAGCUUGCUAUCUUGGUGGGCUCCAUCGAGAGAUUUUUGUCAUCAUUGAGGGACUUAUGACAUCUGUCACACCCCAAACCCGAGACGUAAUAGAUGCACCAUACCUGUUAGAUUAGCAAAUACACAAGGCUACAGAACUGGAUAGAAAACAAGUAGAACAUGAUUACUAAAAAUUUUGCUUAAUCCAAAGAAUUGAAAACAUGAGACGAACAACGAGCCUCAGCCAUAUUGAACAGAAAUGAUGUUCAAAAGGUUCCUAUCAAAGUGAAGAGGCAACUCAAGGCAAAGGAACUUUGGCAAACGAUGGGUGCAAGUGGUGCUUGACCAUUUGAUGCAUACGAUUUGGCCUUAGGAUACGUAGAGAAACAGGACUGAGCGAAAUCUGGUCAAAAUAAAGAUAACAAAGGCCCGGUCGAUGCGGUAUCGACCUUGGUACAGUAAAAUGGUCAUAGCUUCAGCACAGGUGUCUGUUUUCGACAUGCAACUCCAAUCGGAAAACAAUUUUUCGAAAGACGCAUUUUGAAUGGCUUUGUCAUUCUAAUUUAGCUUUGUGCCUAAAUUCAGUAAUAUAGACGUCCGAAUUUGCAGUUUUAGGUUUCUUUUAAUUAAUUUUGAGAAUGUUGUUUUGUUUCUUUUAUUAUUUCGAGUUAGAUCAUAAUUCUGUAAUAUUUACUCUGAUUAGGCUUAGACUUUGGUUAAUUUCGUAUUUUUGUGCUUAGGUAAGCGCCUUUAUAUAAAGGCCGAUUAGGGUUUUGUAAGGGGAGUAUUAUUUAGAGAGCAAUAUCAACUGUCUUUCAUUGUACAAGAGAUUCUUCUACCUUUCUCGUCCGUCCUUAUGCUUCUUUCGCCUCCAUUGCGGUAGUGGCUGCGUCACUGUUAGGUUGUGAAAACACUUCCACCUUAGGGAGUGGUUCUUAUCCGCGUAAAUUGCCAAUCCAAGAGCACUAAAUGAAGCAAAAUGUAACAGCACUAUCGGCUCACCUGAUUUCCCCUAACUCUAAUCUAAAAUGGUGCUACAAAUGUCAAAAUUCAAACCAUAAAUUCAUAAAUUCAAAUUAGAAUUUUAAAGUUUAGAUUUGAAUUCAAUAUGUUGAGUGUGUAAUUUAAGUUUGCACUUUGAAUUGUUAGUGCUAUUUUAAACAUUUUUAUGCGGAAUUUAACUUUUCUUUGAUUUUGACUUCUAUUAUUAACCAAACAAAUUAAGAGAUUUUAUCAUUCCAUUUUUCAUUAUGGUCUAUUCUGAUUCAUAUUCUGAUUUUAAUUCUCGUUUUGAACCAACCAUGUUUAAUUGAAUUAUGUCUCAUUCGUGUUAAUUCUAAUUCAUAUUCAUAUAUGCAUAUUAAUAUAUAUUAUUAUCAGAAUAAUAUCAUAAUACACAUCCGAUCCAUAUGCAAAUACGAAAAAAAUUAUCCGAUCAUAUCCUAAUCCAUUUUAGCGGAUAUGAUAACAAAAAUUUAGCAUCCAACACACAUCUACAUCCAAAUUUGUAUCCGGGAAAAAAAUAGUAUGGAUGCGGAUGUGGUUUCUUCAAAUAUUUGAUUGUAUCUGAUCCGUUUUCGCCCCUUUGACCGUCCGUGUGGUGGCUACUUUGCUCGUGUCUGAUGUGGUGGAUUCUUUGUGUCUGACAUGGUAGACUGAGUGCUUAUCUGGCCGUGCUUUGCAUCUCUGCUAGCUUUCUUAUAUUUCAGUGUUAGAUUAUGCAACAUAUCCUAAAAUUCCAACUGCUAGGUUAAAAAAAAAUCUAGAAAAUGAUGAAUGCAGUCCUUUCAGUAGGCUAGAGAGUAUUUGGCAUUAUUUUUUACUUGUUCUUUUUAAGAUUUCGAUGUUGCUUUAUGUUUUCUAUUAACUUGUUAAGCACCAUUUCACUUCAGUUUGAAAAACCAAAAAAUGGUAUAGUGAAAACAUUCUUUUGGUUCUCAAAACAAUGACCAAAUAUGCUAGCAACACGGCUGAUUUUACUAGAAAUCAAUGCAAAUGCCGGACAAUGCAAGUAAACAUAUUUUCAAAUUUGACGCCUAUGAAAGGAAACGGCGUGCAAACCACAUAACACAUUAGACAUUUUUACUGAAGUUUACAGCAAAAGAUACAUCAGGAGCUUAGAUUUACAAGAAGACAUCACAUUUGGUCGAGAGCUUUUAAUGUUUUCCAAAAGAAGAGAGAUUCCUUGAUAAGGAUCAUUGAUGUACAUAUUUUCACCUUCGGCAUGGGAAAAGAAUUUGUCUUAGUAGCAGCCUAGUAGCUUGGGAGUGGUUAAUUAUGCAGUAUUGUGUGGUGUAUUCCUCUGGAAUUUAUGGUGGCAAAAGCAUUAUGGUAGAUGCUUUGGCCAAAGCAGCUGCAAUUGCAAAGUACUAUCAUCACCACCAAUCUGUACUUACAGGAAGGAAAAACUUGUUUAAACCAAAACAGCCACAUCUUGGUAGCGCCAUGCGUGCAACUCAGCUUCCAUGCCACACCACACGUAUAAACUGGCUCUUCGUGUUCUCAUCCAUAGAAACUAGUUUCAAUCACUAUCAUUUUACUCAAAAGUAGUUGUCUCUAUGUCCUAUGACCAUUUUAUUGCCUUAUAAGUUCCACUGUACUACCAUUUAUCAUUGUGAUAAAUUUUGUCAAAGAAUACAAGGCUAACUCUAUGAAGAAGUCUUACCAUACUCCAGACCUUUAACUAUCCAUUUCAACAAAGAAAACAAGCUGUGAUUGGUAAUUGGUAUUUGUUUUAUGCAUCAAAUAGUUUGCUCCCUUUCUUGGAUAUGAAUUCAUCUUUUGCUUGGAUCAUGUGCCCUCUCGUGCUUUAGCUUUUAUUAAGCUAUGAUUUGGAGCCUCUUAAGUACAUAUUUAUUGAAGAGACUUCCAGAAGUGCACUUCAUUACAGCAGAUAUUUCUUGUCCUGAACUAGUAAGUAUAUAUUAACCUAGAAUUUACUAAAUUAUAUAUAAUAACCUUCCUAUGUCAAUUCUUUAGAAUAGUUUUAUUUUUUCCGUUUGAACUUUAUUUUUGCGUCAAAUUUGUUCUUUUCGGUUGACAUAUUGGAUAGUGGUUCCUACUGACAAGAAUGAUGAAAUUGAGGAAAUUAUGAAGAAUAAUUAUCAAUUAGAGGUAAGUAUAUAAGGAGAACAUCAAUUAGGGGAAAUCAAUCAAAGGAAAUUCUCCUAAAGUGCAAGAUGAUGUAUGCGGAAGAUGCUCACACCAUUCGGCUUUAUUAAUAUUCCUUUCAUAUGUAUUCUUUGUAUGGUGUAUUUUCCAAUUUUUUUGGCGAAUUUUUUCCCUUAACUUAAAGCGACCACUUUGUAGAGUACUCUGUCCUAUAAAAUCUGAUUACAUUUACUGUCCUAUAAAAAAUAAAGAAAGCCAAACGGUAAAAAAAAUAAAUGCAAAAAAAAGAAACUAAGAUUUACAUAGUUCGGCAAUUGCCUACGUCUACGGGAAGAGCGAGAAAGAUGUAUUCCACUAUACGAAGAAACAAAGUACAAUCUUACACCUUAUACCUUCUCUAGAUAAAAACCAAAAGCCUUGUAGUAAAUCCCACCAUUCUCUUGUUCCAACGAAAACUCCAAAAAAAUAUUCAAAAAGCUUUUCGUACUACCAAGAAGACUAAAUUAGAUAUGUAUAGAAAUCUCUGACCAAAAUCCUUUAUGCCGUUGCUUCGAUGAAUCUGAAUUGCUCAAGCAAUUGGUCGAAAAAUACCGCUCAGCUGUCGACUCCAAUCUAGACGUCGCAUGCGAGGCCGCCUCUCUCCUACCAUCGUAUGGCCAUUCGACUCACACACGAACGCUAAUCCGUACGGUCCACAUCCAUGCAUAUAUAUAUAGAGCUAGGCUGGUAUACUAUCGGUAGCACAGAGGCCUCCGUGCUACCAAGUUGUUUUCAAUGAUGCGGCUUCCGAAUCGACGAUUGGCUCCGUUAAUCUUAAUCUACACCAAUGAAAGUAUUUGGAAACUAACUUUCAUAAUUUUUCGGUAUCAUUUAUCUAUCAAACGAGUAGUCUAAAAAUAAACGGCUGAAAAUAAAAAUCUCAUAAAAAAUGAUGAUAAAAGACUUGAAUUUAAGAUCAGCGGUACUGAUCUUACUCUAAAUAGUGAAAAAAAAUUUCUAUAAAAAUUUCAUCAGAUUUGGAUUGUUUUACACCGUUAAAUUCACAAACGCAUCAUAUCUACCAUUAAAAUUGUCAAUUUUGAGACCUUUUGAUCACUAGCCAGAUGAUGUCGAAAAAUUAUGAAAUUUAGUUUCCAAAUACUUUUAAUAGUGUAGAUCAAGUUUAACGGAGCUGAUUGUCGAUUUGAAAACUGCAUCAUUGAAAAUAACUUGGUAGCACGGAGGCCUCCGUGCUAUCGAUAUAUAGUAUACCAGCUAGCUUUAUAUAUAUAUAUAUAUAUAUAUAUAUAUAAAACUAGGCUGUAUAGAACUAGGCUGAUAGCAUAUAUAUAAAACUAGGCUAUAUAGAACUAGGCUGGAAUGCUAUCAAUAUAUAGUACCAAGCUGUUAGUGCUAUUAGGUUUUCGGCAGCUUGGAUGAAAAAAUGUACGGUUGGGAUGAUGUGGGCUCCCUAGAGUUGAGUGAGUUGUUGGUUGAAUAGUAUAAUCUAACGGGUGAAAAUAAUCAAAGGGUUAAAUCUAACGGUUGAAAACUCGGUUGCACAAGUGCUUGGUGCUAUCGAUAGUAUCCCAGCCGGACUAUAUAUAUAUAUAUAUAUCGUACUUAUACUAUAUAUAUGUAUACUAUACUGAGCAUACAGUCAAAUCGCACAGUAACAAUUAUAUUUAGAUUUAUUUUAAAUAAUCAAAAAUUUUAUAAUCAUAUUUUUUUUUAAAAAAAUUAGAAUAAAAUAUUAUAAUUUAUAGUAUUAUAUUUUAUUAGAAAAUAUCUACGAUACUCAAUUUAAAUUUUAGUAUACAAAUAAAUGUGAUAGAUUUGAAUAAAAUAAAAUUCAAAUUUAAUCUCACGGAUUUCAACCUCAAAUUUAAAUUUAUAUUUGUAUCAAGUAGAUUAGAUAAAGUACUAUUUUUAAGCAGAUUGAUAUUCUGACACAAAUUUUAGAAUAAGCAUUAAUUUGUUUCUAUUUAGAGUAAAAAGAAAUUAAAUAAAUUUUGAAUUAAAACAUUUAAUCAUCAGUAAUAUCUUUCGUUGGUAAAAACUUUGGAUAGUAUUAUUUUUUUUUCUAGUUUAGAGAUACAGCGAAUAAAGUUUGUUUUAUACUUUAUUAUUUUACGUAAGGAAAGAGGAAUCUAAAUUUUUUUCCCGCCAAAGAAUGGUCUGUCGACAUGACCCAAAUUUGAAUAAAGUGCUUUUAUAUCUUAUAUAGUAUUAUUAUACUACGAACGGAGAGAAGAGAGAGAGAUGAGAGAGAGAGCAGAAAAGUAGCGCUACUGUGCUAUAGGACCAGCAGCCCUUUGUCUCUAGUUCUUACUAACCGCCUAUCAAAUUUGAUGGGUGGUUUAGUGGUGAAAGGGAGAAGAGUAAAUUAGAGAUGAAAUUGAGUUCUCAAUUUUCUCUUCUCUUUGAUUUCUCUCCAAUUUCUCUUUUAUCAUCUCACUCUAACCAGCGCUAUCAAAUAUUUGAUGGACAGUUCAGAACUUAAUAGAAUAUAAGGUGCUCGUGUUUCUAAUAGCCCACACCCCACCACCAACAGAGAGCCUAUCUUAUAUAUAUAUAUAAUAUAUAUUUAUAUAUAUAUAUAUAUUAUAUCGGGUAAUCCUUAUCCUACUCUACCUCCAAGUCAACUUGACUUAGAAGCAAUACAUAGGAAACCGGACCAAGUCCAAUUUUAUAUCCAACACGAAUUGGAAUCCACCAAUGAGAAUCCACAUUAAGCCUCUAAUUAUUUUCUAUGAACUUGGUGCAUGGAUCAAGCUAAUAAUAACAAAAGAAAGCAUAUUUUUAGCAUUCUCCAUCUGGACUUCUUUUGUACUUCAUCACUCUCUUUUAUCUUAUCGCCUCCUCUUCUUGAGACAUUCCAACACUAACAGGCAUGUAGGUUAGCAAAGUCUAGAGAAUGCCUAGACUUCUACGAUGUUAUCGGCUCACUGAUCAACUUAUACAAAUUUCCUUUAUUCUCUUCUAUUAUGACGACCAUAACACUCUUUUUCACCUUGACGACUCCACCUGAAAUACUAACAGAAUAGCCAAGAGUAAAGAGUAUGAAACGAUAUCAAAUUCAACCUGAGACACGAAAUGUGUCUCACAUCCAUCAACGUCCUCACCACACCGUCAAACACCUUUAUUUUUCCUGCUCUGAUACCGACCAUCUUGCAUGUAGUGUGAUUAUUCAUCACAACACUACCACCUUUUCACAAGAUUUAUAAGUAUCAAAUAAAAACCUGUCUGGAGACAUUUGAUAAGAACAACUAGAAUCCAAUAUCCAGUCUCCGAGAGCAAGGUUUUAAGUGCCCGUCGGCACGUGCCGUAUCCACCGUACUGUACCGUACCAACAAGAUACUGGCACGAUACAGACCCCAUGCCGAUGGCACAGCUCAAAGCCCUCUAUUUUUUAAAUUAGUAAGUAAUUUUCUAAAUAAAGUUCAAAAGAUGUGAUAAAAAGACAUAAUAAAUAGUUAGAAUAUUUUGUUGCUAAAGAAAAUAAAUAUUUCAUACUAUUAUGUGUCGACACAAAAGAAUUUUUUUUGACCGGCACGCAUCAGCACGGUUCGGCACGCAUCGCGCCGGCAAUUUUCCGGUACGACCCCAUACCACGGCACUUAAAUCCUUGACCGAGAGAUUCUGAAUCAGUUGUAACCGUCAAGGCACCUUGACCGGAAACGCUAGCUAUGCUCGCCGCAUCUGUAGAAGAAUUUCGAUUUUUUCAGCCAAGCCUUCCUCCUUGCGCAGUUUUUUUUUUUUCACGUGACUCUCUUUCUUCCAGAAGUAACACUUUAGCUUUUUCGAUUUUGACUUAAAACGGGAUAUUCCUUUACAUACAUCACGUUCACUUGAUCAUCCCUUUCCUCCAACCUGCAUUGCUUUCAUCAGUACUUGCCGGUAACCUGAUCUCCUCAGAUAGAAGGGUUGACAUAACAUCUUUCAUUUUUAGAGUUUGUUUCCAAUACAAUAUGAUGGUCACCAGGUGAUUGUAGGAAGGCGGAAGUGAUGUAAGAAAAAUCAACGCUUUAUCAUCCUUGUCAACCUUGAUAUUAAUGUUGAGCAAAUCUGCAAUAAUUUUAUUAAAGGUGUUUAAGUGUUUCGUGAUUGUCGUACGUUCCUUCAUGCAUAGCCCAUAUAACUUUUGCUUUAGGUACAGCACGUUCGAGAGGCUUUUUGUCAUAUACAGCUUCUCUAGCUUGUUCCACAUGUCGACUGUAGUUUCUUCAUCUAUUACGUUAUACAUCACCUAUGUUGCUAGGCACAAUAUAAUUGUAUUCACCGCCUGCAAAUCAAUCUUCUCCCAAUCAUCAUCGCUAAUCAAUGUCGGUUUUUUUGAUUUUGCGAACAACGCCUUAUGAAGGCCCUGUUGUACUAGAAGAGCUUUCACUCUUCUCUACCAGAGACUGAAGUUUUUUUUGUCGUCAAAUUUCUCCACCUUAAACUUAGAAUACGAGACUUUUGAUAUCUUUGCUGUAGCACGAACCUUAUGCUCUGAUACCACUUGUUGGGAACCUGAUUAAUCGUCCGUUGUGCAUACCAACAAAGAUGCACGAAAAAUAGAGAAAAUCGAACGGUAAAAAAAAUAAAUGCAGAAAGAAGAAAUCAAGAUUUAUGUGGUUCAGUAAUUGCCUAUGUCCAUGGAGAAAGCGAGAGAUAUAUUCCACUAUACGAAGAAACAGAAAUACAAGCUUACACUUAUGUCUUCUCAAGUUAAAAAACCAAGAGAGCCUUAUGGUGAAUCUCACCUUUCUCUUGCUCCAACGAAAACUCUAAAAAAUUAUCGGAAAAAGCCUUUCAUAAAGUCAUAACCGAGAAGACUAAAUUAGAUAAGUAUAGAAAUCUCUGACCAAAAUCCUUUAUGUCGUUGCUUCGAUGAAUCCGUGUUGGCUUAAAUGGGCCAGCAUCCUGCCCUGUGACGGGAGGCCAUGCUGGGCCGAGUCAUAUUCUAAAUGGCGUGAGGCUGGGUGGGCCGAGUCAUGUUCGAAGUAGCGUGAGGCUAGUUGGGCCGAGUCACAAUCGAGACCCAUGGGUGCUGUAUCUGUACGCUAUAAGUGAAUUGGUUGUAUAUUUCUAACAGCUCAAGCUUUUGGAAUUAAUGGUUAUCGCUAACGAUCCAACAAGUGGUAUCAGAGCCAGUGGUCACGAGUUCGAUUUCCACAUGUUGCAAAUGUGUGCAGGUGCUUGAGGAGGGAUUGUUGGCUUAAAUUGGCCAGCAUCUUGCCCUGUGGCGGGAGGCAAUGUUGGGUCGAGUCAUAUUCAAAAUGGCGUGAGGCUGGGUGGGCCGAGUCAUGUUCGAAGUGACGUGAAGUUGGUUAAGUCGACUCAUAGUUAAGACNAUGUUGGGUCGAGUCAUAUUCAAAAUGGCGUGAGGCUGGAUGGGCCGAGUCAUGUUCGAAGUGGCUUGAGGCUAGUUAGGCUGGUCACAAUCAAGACCCGUGGGUGCUGUAUCUGUACGCUUUAAGUAAAUUGGUUGUAUAUUUCUAACAGCUGGAGCUUUUGGGAUUAAUGGUUAGUGCCAACAAUCCGACAAUCCGAACCUCUUAGGCAAUUGGUAGAGAAAUACUGCUUUGUUGCCGACUCUGAUCCAGACGUCGCAUACGAGGACGCCUCUCUCCUGCCGUCGUACAACCACCCGGGUGUCGUGAAUUAAUUAGCUCGACGACGCUAAUUAAUUUCUCAGACACGAACACCAAUCAGUACAAUCCAUAUGCAUGCAUAUAAAUAGUAUUCACAUAUAUGUAUAAGUGACUCUUGAUUUCUAAAGACCUCUAAGAAAACCCUAAAAAAGAGUUCUAACAAAAUAAGAACCUCAACUAUCUUGUUUGGGAAAAACCCCCAAAUUAAAUAAAUUUUAAAAAAUACUAACUCAUCUCUUCACCUUCUAGCAAGAGAAACAUAGGUGAAGUGGACCUCUUCUCCAUCCAAGAGCUUCCUCUUGAUGCCUUUGACCUUCCCCAAGCUCCCAAGGAGAUGGAUCAACAAGCUCCAACACUGGGGGAUUUUAGGACUCCAUUUCUUCAAAAGAGAGAGAAGAUAUAGAGAGUGAGAUAGAAGGAAAUAAGAGAAGGAUUAAGGUUGGCUGUGUUGGAUGUGGCCCACAUGAUAUAUUUAAGGCGAUCCAUAAAGAUACAGUCAAUCUAUUUAAGUCGAUCUAUAAAGAUACUUUAGAUCUUACGGUUAGGAUGUAUCUGGACACGUUCUUGAUGGACGGACGUGAUUUAACAUCCUAGUAUCAAGUUAUAUAUAAAUAUGUAACAUACAAGAGUCCCGAUCUAACCCUAAUCCAAUUGUCUGUGACGGCUCCAUCUCCGGCGAUAAGGGAAUUAGACUCGAAACGUCCCGCUACUUUGCAGAUCGCGAACGAGGACGAACCACGAGCAAGGAUCACCGUCAACAAUUCGGGUACAGAAAUCGAAAUCAUGGCAGAAGGUACGAUCUUAGUUUUUUAUAAAGUUCCAACAUGUGGUAUCAGAGUCGAACCUUUUGCGGGAUUUUUGUUUCUUUCCGGAUUUCGUUUGGUUUUCUUUUCAUUAAAAUAAAUAAAUAAAUAAAUUCGUCGAUGGUUUGCGUUAAUGGUAACGUCGGCCGAUCUCAAUCGAGAUCGGCGUUUGGAAGAACGACGUCAUCGGCCCGAUCGCAUUGAGCGAUCAAGAAGCCAAAAAAAAAGAAAAAGAGAAAGGAUGAUGGGGCGGCAUGGCGGACUCGUGCCACCACGCCACCCUGGCGCCCUAGGCGCGGCCCCAUUAGGGCCGCACUAGGCAGCCCGUAAUGGGACUGCCUAGGUGGCGGUGAAAAAAAAAAAAAAAGGGCAAAAAGGGGGUUGCAGCUUGCAACCCACGGGGGCUGCCAUGUGUAGCCCUAUGCGGGCCCACCGAAGAAAAGAGAAUUUAUUUAUUUAUUUAUUUAUUUAUUUUUCAUUUAAAAUAAUGAAAUAUAGUUUUGCUUAAUAAUUUUCUUUGCAAUGUGACUUAUUUUAGAAGAAGUCUAUAUAUUAAAAUUAUAUAUAACUUUUGGUAUUUGUUAUAUAUAAUUUCUGUUCUACUCGUUUAUUUAUUCAUGAUAUAAAGUAACAUGUUUAGUUUAAUAUUUUACGGUAUAUUUUUGUAUUAUUACUCUAAACAUAUAAAAGGUAAUCAUGAAAAUUUAAAAGUAGAGUAUAUAGACUUCAUACAUUUUAUAAUCUUGAGUCACAUAAGGUUGUUAAGAAAAUUACUCAAGACUCUUAUUAUUUUUUCACUGUGUUUUGGAAUAAUAUGAAAUUUUCAGACAUUCAUAUCAUAUAUGGACUUGUAAGAUUAACUAUGUUUAGGAGUAGCCACAACAUCUUAGUCAUGGUAUAUGAUCACUUAUGGUAUUUUUAUAAGAUGAUAUUGAAUUAAAGUUAAUCGAAAAUUCAUAUGGAUUCACAAUUUAUUUUUAAAGAGUCAUUCAAUAUCAAAUAAGGUUAUUUGUAUUUUCCAUUAUGCUCAGGAGUAGCCACAGCAUCCUAUAGAUAAUGAAAAAUAUAUAAGGUAUUACUGAUAUUGAAUUAAAUUUGACUAUUUAUUGCAGUCAAAUAAAUUAAUUUUCUGAAUUUUGACUGGAAUAAGAUAGUGGAUUGAAUUUCUAGAUAGCGAGUUUUCUUAUACCCACAAGUACAGAAAUCUUGUUGUUUAGAAAUUAGUUUUCUGCUAGUCUUAUUAUUAAAAUAGAUGAAUUCUAUACGUGUAGCACCUCUGCCCACAGAAAGGUAGAAUUUAUCUAAUCUAAAGAUUAUUAUCUUAUAGUAGGCGAUAAAGUUCAAUAUUUUCUUUAUUUUUGCAGCUUCUUUCUCUACUACAUUUCUUAAUGAUGUUUCUCGUAUCCCUAUGCUUACUAGGGACAAUUAUUCUGAUUGGAAAAAAAUUAUUUCUUUUACUUUGGGUUAUAUGGAUUUAGACUUGGCUCUGCGCGUUGAGCAACCGCCUAAAGUAGUGGGGCCAAUAACUCCACAGCAGGAAUUCGCGCGGAAAAAGUGGGAGCGAUCCAACCGCUUAAGCUUGAUGCUCAUAAAGUCUAGAGUAUCAAAAAGCAUAAGGGGAUCAAUUUCAGAAUGUAAUAAAGCCAAGGAUUACCUAAAGGCCAUUGAGGAGCAGUUUGUCAGCUCCGAUAAAGUUUUGGCGAGCACGCUGAUGAAGCGACUUUCGGACAUCAAGUACAAUCGAGCCAAGGGUGUGCGCGAGCACAUUAUGGAGAUGCGGAACUUAGCAGCUUAACUAAAGGCUUUAAAAGUUGAGAUCUCCGACACCUUCUAGUCCAUCUAAUUCUAAACUCAUUACAGUCUAAGUUUGACCCUUUUAAGAUCUCCUAUAACACACAUAAGGAUGAAUGGUCAAUAAAUGAAUUAUUGACCAUGUGUGUUCAAGAAGAUGAGAGACUUAAGCAGGAGAAGCUGGAAAUUAUAACAGAAUCUGUUAAUCUGGCGACUCAGCGCAAAAAGGGGCGGAGAAAGGGUGUCUCCAAUUACAAGAAGUCAGCUCAAUUGCCAAUAAAGAAUUCUGGCAAGAAAGAUCAAUGCUACUUCUGUAAAAAGAAAGGGCACAUGAAAGGGACUGCUUGAAGUAAAAAGCUUGGCUCGAGAAGAAAGGUAUUGAAACUAUCUAUAUUUAUUAUGAAUCUCAUUUAGUUAAUGUUCCUAAAAACACAUGGUGGAUUGACUCUGGAACUACUGUACAUAUCUCUAAUACCAUGCAGUGUUUUCACAACCUAACGAUGUUGAAGUCAAAUGAAAGGAUUUUAAUUAGCGGAGAAGGAAAUAAAUCUCAAGUUAAAGCCGUAGGAAAGUUUAUUUUAGAACUUAGUACUGGUUUUGUACUUGAACUUAUGAUACUUUUAUGUUCCUAAAUUUUCUAGAAAUUUAGUUUCUGUUUCUAAAUUGAGAAAUAAAGGUUUUAAAUUUUUAUUUGAAAAUGAAUCUUUUACUAUGUUCUCCGAUAAUGUUAUUGUAGGCAAUAGUUGUUUGGUAGAUGAUUUGUACAAAUUUAAUUUGAGUCAAUCUUUUGAAAAUAAUUUUAAUGUUGAUCAUGACGUUGGUGUUAAAAGGAACAUUAUUAAAGAAAACUCCUCCUAUUUAUGGCACAAGCGUUUAGUUCAUAUCUCUUUAGAGAGAAUAAAGAGAUUGGUAAAAGAAAAGAUCUUACAAGAUCUUGACUUUAUCGAUUUUGGUAUUUGUGUGGAAUGCAUAAAGGGAAAGGAUAUUUACACAAAUACCACUAAAAGUGCCAGAAGGAGUUCUGAAAUUCUUGAGAUCAUACAUACAGAUAUCUGUGGACCUUUUCCUACUCCUUGUUUCAACGGUCAGAGAUAUUUUAUCUCAUUUAUUGAUGACCAUUCAAGAUAUAUAUAUCUCUAUCUCUUAUUUGAAAAAGCUGAGGCUCUUGAUGCUUUUAAAGUUUAUAAGGUUGAGGUAGAGAAACAAUUGGAUAGGAAAAUCAAGAUUGUAAGGUCCGACAGAGGAGGUGAGUAUUAUGGAAGACAUACGGAUAAAGGUUAAAUGAUUGGUCCAUUUAGUCAAUUUCUGAAAGGUGAAGGCAUCAUUGCACAGUAUACGAUGCCUGGCACGCCCCAACAAAAUGGCAUUGCCGAAAGGAGGAAUAGAAUACUCAUGGACACGGUAAAGAGCAUGAUUAGCAACUCUUGUCUUCCAUCUUCUCUUUGGAGUGAAGCACUAAAGACAAUGGUGUAUGUUUUAAAUAGGAUUUCAUUGAAGGCUAUUUCCAAAACUCCUUUUGAGUUAUGGAAAAGGUGGAAACCUAGUUUAAAUCACCUGCAUGUAUGGGGAUGUCCAGCUGAGGUGAGGGUUUAUAAUCCACACAUAAAGAAAUUAGACCCUCGAACAGUCAGUGAAUAUUUCAUUGGCUAUGCGGUAAACUUCAAAGGAUUCAGGCGUUCUAUUGUCCAAAUCACCCAUCCAAGAUAGUUGAGGCCAGGAAUGCUAAAUUUCUUGAGGAUUUCGAAGCUAGUGGGAAUGCUGUUCCUCAAAAGAUGGAUUUUGAGAAAAUAAGAGAUUCAACUAGUUAUCCAUCAACAGAUAAUAAUCUAGUUGCGCUUCCAGGAGGUCAAUUUGACCGAAAUGGAGAUCAACUAAUCUUAGAGUAUGAAAAUGCUGAACCAAUUGAACCUCCCCAUGAAGAUCUGUCCCAAGAGGAACAGAUAAUUAUAGAGCCAGCUGCACAGAAUAAUAAAAUCUGCAGGAAGAGGUUGGCUUAAGAAGAUCCUCAAGACAAAGAAGAUUGGCGAUUCCUGAUGAUUAUGUAGUCUAUCUUCAAGAGUCUGACUUUGAUGUCGGACACCAUAAAGACUCAUGAACGUUUUCAGAAGCCAUGCACGAAGAUAAAUCCUCCCUAUGGUAUGAUGCCAUGAAGAAAGAGAUGAAAUCUAUGACGGAUAACAAAGUUUGGGAUCUCGUUGAGUUACCACAAGGAGUCAAAGCCAUUGGCUGUAAAUGGGUCUACAAGACCAAAAGGGACUCUUUAGGUAACAUAGAACGAUAUAAGGCCAGACUUGUCGCCAAAGGUUUCACUUAAAAGGAAGGCAUUGAUUAUCAUGAAACCUUCUCUCCAGUAUCAAAGAAGGAUUCAUUAAGAAUUAUCAUGGCUUUGGUAGCUCAUUUCGAUUUAGAGCUACAUCAGAUGGAUGUGAAAACGACAUUUCUAAAUGGGGAUAUAGAGGAGAUAGUCUAUAUGCACAAGCCCGAAGGUUUCAACACAGAUGAAAGUAAUCACCUUAUUUGCAGACUAAAGAAAUCUAUAUACGGACUUAAACAGGCUUCCCAUCAGUGGUAUAUCAAGUUCCAUAAUAUAAUUACUAUAUUCGGUUUCGUAGAAAAUAUUGUGGACCAAUGCAUAUACCUUAAGGUUAGUAAGAGUAAAUAUAUUUUUUUAGUUCUGUAUGUAGAUGACAUUCUGCUUGCAAGUAGUGAUUUGAAUUUGCUUAAAGAGACUAAAGAUUUUCUUUCUAAAAACUUUGAUAUGAAGGAUAUGGGUGAAGCUUCUUAUGUCAUUGGCAUAAAAAUUCACAGAAAUAGAUCUCAAAGAAUUUUGGGUCUAUCUCAGAAAGCCUGCAUCGAAAGAGUUCUAGAAAGGUUUAAUAUGACAAAUUGUGCACCUACAGCUGCGCCUAUUAUAAAAGGUGACAAAUUCAAUCAGAAAUAGUGUCCUCAGAAUGAUUUAAAACGAGAAUAUAUGAAGAGCCUGUCCUAUGCCUCUGCAGUAGGGAGUUUGAUGUAUGCGCAGGUCUGUACCAGACCUGAUAUAGCUCAUGCAGUGGGGAUGUUGGGUAGAUACCAAAGCAACCCUGGCCUUGAUCAUUGGAAAGCUGCAAAGAAGGUUAUGAGAUAUUUACAAGGAACAAAAGAUUAUAUGCUCAUCUACAAACAUUCUGAUCAUCUUGAGGUGGUUGGGUAUUCGGACUCUGAUUUUGCUGGAUGCAUGGAUUCUAGAAAGUCCACACCAAGAUAUAUUUUCUUACUUGCUCAAGGUGCUAUAUCUUGGAGAAGCACUAAGCAAGAUACAUUUGCUACAUCCACUAUGGAGGCAGAAUUCAUCGCUUGCUAUGAGACUUCGUCACAGGCUUUAUGGCUGAGAAAUUUUAUCUUAGCUUUAAGAGUUGUCGAUUUUAUCUUAAGGCCAAUUAAGAUUUAUUGCGACAACUCUGCUGCAGUGUUCUUUGCUAAGAAUAGUCGAAUUACAGAUCGCAACAAGCAUAUCGAUAUAAAGUAUCUUGCUGUGAAAGAAUAUAACAAGAAGAAUGUGGAUAUCCAACACAUUGGGACCGAGAUGAUGAUUGCUGAUCAUAUGACUAAAGCAUUGCCGGCAAACAAAUUCAAGAGUCAUAUUCAUCAUAUGGGUAUCUUGAGUCCAUUUACAGUUUAAGUGUUUUCUUCUUGUAUAAAGACUUUAAAGACUAUUCUUAUUUGAGUAAGAACAAAUUUUUGGUUUUUUGCACGUAUGCGCAUAAAGUUAUCUUUUGUACAUUAAAGUAUUGUUGUGCACUAAAGUGGGAUUCUGAGUUGAACUUAUAGUAAGUUCAUAUGGUUGUAACUCAUAAAAUUAUUUGAUUAAGGAAUACGUGCUUUUGAUACAUGGAAGAAAGUGUUUAUUUUUUGGGGCAUAAUCGCUAUGAUCAAAGUAUUGUAAUUUCUUGGUCGAGUAGGAGAUUUUGACUGUAUAAUUUAGUUGGUACCUAAUAAAGUUUUGUAUCGCCUAUAUGGUAAUAAAUAUAUCACUAGGCCAAGUGGGAGAAUGUUGGAUGUGGCCCACGUUAUAUAUUUAAGGCGAUCCAUAAAGAUACAGUCAAUUUAUUUAAGUCGAUCUAUAAAGAUACUUUAGAUCUUACGGUUAGGAUGUAUCUGGACACAUCCUUGAUGGACGGACGUGAUUUAACAUCCUAGUAUCAAGUUAUAUAUAAAUAUGUAACUUACGGUAGUCCCGGUCUAACCCUAAUCCAAUUGUCUGUGACGGCUCCAUCUCUGGGGAUAAGGGAAUUAGACUCGAAACGUCCCGCUACUUUGCAGAUCGCGAACGAGGACGAACCACAAUCAAGGAUCACCGUCAACAAUUCGGGUACAGAAAUCGAAAUCAUGGCAGAAGGUACGAUCUUAGUUUCUUAUAAAGUUCCAACAGGCUGAUAAAAAAGUCCUUUUAUAGAAGUGCUACAAUAGCACAUAAACCCCUCAGGUUUCGGGUGCCCGCCCUAACUUUCGAGUCCUGAAAGUGAUGUAGCUGCACUAGGUUGAUGGUUCGAACGCCUGCACACCGAUGUUCGGGCACCCUAAGAGGGAUCGAGCAUCUGAUUGUUUAUUGUGUCGUGCGACCUAUGCUCUCGUGUUGAGCAUCUGAAAGUCAUUAAGAGGUCCCCGAGGGAUCACCAAGAAAGAUGUUCUGGGGGCCAGCAGCGUCAUUCGGACGCUCGAAUGUUUAAUCAUUCGUGAUCUAAGCUCUUGGGUUGGGAGUUGGGAAGGGUUCCGGAAGCCCUCAAGUAGGAUCCGAAAAGAUCCAAGCACCCACAAGGCUAUUUGAAUGCCCAAAUGCUAGCCUCCUUGCCACCCCUACUCUGUGGAACAGCGUUCACUUGUUCAGGGCGCUCCGUUGGGCCAUUUGAAGCUAUUUUGGGGGCCCGAAUUCCUAUUCCAUACGCCCGAAAAGUCUGAAAGUCAGAUUUCUUUCUUUCAGAAAUCUGUUUCAAUUCGAAUUAAUUUUGAUUCAAUCCAAACUCAAUCUAGGCUCAUUCCAACCUAUUAUAAUCAUGUCUAGCAUGGAUUAAUUCACAUUUUGUCAAUUUAGCUAAAGUUCGACAUGUUACAGGUUUACCUAUUUUGCAGAAACACCUUGCGCUUGUUGGAAUUACAAUUUAGCACAAUUUUAAUCUGGUGGACUUAUUUGGAGCUCUACAAAAUGUCGAUUUAGGCUCAAAUUUAGACUUGCAGACUCAACUAAAAUAAUAAGAGAUAAUUUAAUUUCUUUAUUCAGUUUUGAAUCACUUUUGCUCACCUAAAGCCUGCCAAGAGAAAUUUUUAAUGGGCUGCUGUUGGACUCCGUUUAUACCACUCAAUAGUCGAGUGGCACGAAACUUGAAAUCUAAGUUCAGUAUACUAAAAUUGAUGGCUUUCCAAAAUUUUAUAACUUUUUACCACUAUUUAACUUUUGUCAAAAACAUGAACCACAUUCCUUACAUGUUUCUCACAUAUUUUGAAACAUGCCACUGAGAUUCCGAAACGUGAAACCACAUUUCACUAAGGGCGUGUUUGGUUCGCCCCUUUUUCACCCUGGAAUUGGAAUCAGAAUGGACGAAUCCGUUUGUCUGUAUUUGGUAUGCGGGAUUCCCAUUCCGAUUUCGAUUCUCGGGUGAAUGAGAAUCCCCCCAAUACCCCUUUGUCCAAUCCAGCCUAGGAAGCCGGAUUGAAAAUUGAAUCCGGACGGAAUGGAUUUGUUCGGAUUAAAUUUAAAUUUUUUAAGUUUAUUUUUUAAUUAACAUAUAAGUUUAAGUUUAAAAAUUAUAAAUUUUAAUUUUAAUUUGAACUUAAAUUAAAAAUAAAAUUCAAUCAAGCAUUUCGAAUCUAAUUUAUAAAUUUGAAUUUAAAUUUACUUUAAAAUCUAAAGUUUUAUUCAAAUUUUAUUUAAAAUUUAAAUUAAAUUUAUGGAUUCAAAUUGAAAUUUAAAUUUGUUGGCUUAAAUGUGCCAGCAUCUUACCCUGUGGCGGGAGGCCAUGUUGGGCCAAGUCAUAUUCCAAAUGGCGUGAGGCUGGGUGGGCCGAGUCAUAUUCGAAAUGACAUGAGGCUGGGUGGGUCGAGUCAUGUUCGAAGUGACGUGAGGCUGAUCGGGCCAAGUUACAAUCGAGAUUCGUGGGCGCUGUAUCUGUACGCUUUAAGUGAAUUGGUUGCGUAUUUCUAACAGCUCGAGCUUUUGGGAUUAAUAGUUAGCGCCAACGAUCCGACAAGUGGUAUCAGAGCCAGAGGCCACGGGUUCGAUUCCUGUAUGCUGCAAAUGUGUGCAGGUGCUAGAGGCCAAAGUACGAGGCAAUAGUGUUCCUCCAACUCUUUUUCACUUUUUUCAUUUUCCUCAACUUUGUCUUCUAGCUCUAAGAAUUAAACUCUUCUUUCAUUUCAUAAUUGGUGAACAACACAACACAAUUAAAAGCGUAUCACUGAAAUAUGCCAAAUCCUUUACAAGAGCGGCACAGAAUGCUGUUGUUGUUGCUUGAUCUAACUGGCACUGAAGGUUAUCUUUUUUUUUUUUCAAAAAAAUCUUCCAUUUUAAUUGAUAAAUUUUAAUCGUGCUCAUUUUGAGGGAAAGUUUAUCUAUUUUGAUCAGUUUUUCAAAUUACUUGUCAUCAUGUAGAAGGGAUAGAUUGUUGGAUUUUAUCCAAUGAUAAUUCUGAUGAUUACAAACAAAAUUCAGAUUUAAUCUUUUACUUAGUAGUUUUAGGUUUUAGUUACAUUCAUAUUGACCUGGAUUGAAUCAAAGUUGAAUUAAGUUGACCCUUGAAUCCAAUGACCCAAAAAUGGUCCGGACAGGAUCAAACAACACCAAAUUGGACGCAAGUGCCAUAGAAGUACUUCAGAGGGCUGCUCUGCAAUUUAUCAGAUCUUUUGGGGAUUAUGGAGCAACUUUGAGCAUACUUGAGUGCUUCUAAAUCUUGGUGUAUAGGAUUAGUCGACCGCACCAAUAUGACCAGUCAACUACCCAUUCUUACUAGUGCGAUCCGAGAGCAAGUUUCUCACAGGAUUGAAAAUACAGAAGCCCGGCCGGCCACAUAGGUUAGGCCAACAGUUUUUUUUCAAGCAAUUUGGGCAUCCAGAGGAGAUCAAUUAGCUGUUGCUGCGAAUAUAAAAUUUGAAAUAUGGUAUGAAUUCAAAAGAAAUUUGAAAUAUGGUAGAAAUUCAAAAGAAAUUCAAUUAGCGGUUAUGUCAUGCUUCUUUUCCAAAUUUGAAUAUGCUAUGAAUUCAAAAGAAAUUGGAAAUAUGAUAUGAAUUCAAAUGAAAUUCAAUUAACCCUUACGUUAUGCUUCUGUAUACUUUUCUAAAUUUUAAAUUAUGGCUAUUGUUUAAAAAAUUUGUAUUUAAGGGACCUUAGACGAAGUUUGAAGUAUCUCUCUACACUGAAAAAUUUCUAAGUUCAAAUCAUUCUCUCAGCUUUUAUUGUAUUUGGAAUUGUGAGUUUCUUUGGGACUGGUUGUAAUAGAAAUCUUGUGAAAGUGAGAUUGCAUCCGGUUCUGUUCUUUCCACAUUUAAAAAGGCCAAGUGGUAGUGUUUAAAUUAGUAUCUUUAAGAUAAGAAGGACCGAACCGGAGUAGACAAAAAGGCCAAACCAGAAUAAAUCGACUGUGUCAUUUGUGCUUAUUUUUUCCUUCUCUUUCUUUUAUUUGUGUUAUUUGAGAACUAAUUCAGCCCCUUCUUUACCUCCUAGUUGCCACUUGAUCCUUUAACUAUACACCAAGAUAUUAAAACUAUCAUCCGCGAGACACGUGAGAGGAACAUUAGGUAUAUAUAUUUGGUGAAAUUUCAUCCGGUUAACCUAUACUUUCAACUGAUCUAAAGAGAAAUAUUUAAUUUCUUUUUACUAGAGUAGUUUCCAUUAUUCAAUUGUUCAUCUUUGUGAUCCUCUCUAUUUGGCAGGCUCAAGGGUUUCACUCUCAGAGUCAACAAGCUCUCGCAUAUAUCAUAGAAGAAUAGGAAGUCCGACAAGAUCGGUCAUUGAAAGGUCAUCGUAAAUUGAUCCACUAGAUCGAUCAUGGCAUUCAUAUUGAAGAAGCUUUUCUGACAACAUAUAUACUCCUGUCGAAGUUAGAUCAGAUGCGAUAAAAUCCGGUGACUAAUUGUAUCUGAUCAAUGUUUCACACCCGUGGCAGUUGAACCUGCCAUACAAGGUUUAGUAGAGGCUUAUUAUAAUUGUUGCCCAGUACUGAGUUUGCGGAGCUGAGAUUAUACACACAGAAUUGGAAAGCAUUCAAUGGACGAAUUUUGAUGUGUAUAACAUAUGUAAUCUUCUUCUAUAUUUUCUGGUAAUAUCCUUUAAUAGAACUAAGAAUUCUAAUGAUCAUCCACAUGGGUUCGAUAUAGCUAGUGAUAUACCUUGGUUUAAUAUUUUAUAAUUCAAAUGAUCAUUUGUCCUUCUAUGUGAUGUUUUCUGUUUACUAGUUAAUGAUGUACUCAUUAUCUUCCUAGCUAUAUGUCUUUUUGUUUCUUUUUUUUAAAAAUUUUAUUUUCUUCCUUUUCCUCUAAAUGUGGGUGAAUAACAGUUUAGAUUUUGAAGUGUGUUCACAAGUGCAGUAUUAAGUUUGCUUGGUUCUUUGCAUUCAUUCUGUUUGACUCGACCGCUUCUAUUCUUUUCUUCUUCUUUUUUCUUCUUUUUUUCUUUUUUUUUUUGAGAGAUAGUUAGUACGCUACCCGCUUUGUUUAUUUCAUUUAGAAAUAAACUUAGCUAUAAAUGUGAAUCAACUAGGAUUCGAACUUAGAACCUCGGGUAUUAACCACCAAGCCCUUUGCCACUUGCUUUAGGGACCGUCGAUUGAUGCUGCUAUUCUUUUCAGUAUUGAGUAGAGUACUCUACACAUCAUUUGAAACUACACUCGUGUCACCAUAAACGUAUGUUGCUAUCAGAUUGAAAUUCGUCACUAAUGAUAUUUCGCAACUAAAAAGCCUUCGUUCAUCGCUGCAGCCCGUCGCUAAACCAUUUUAGCGACGAAGUUUGUGCUUCAGCAUGUAUCGUAAUCCUGAUUGUUGGAGAGCAGAGAAGUAUAUUUUAUAGAGAAGUAUUAUGGUAAAGUAAAUAAAAUACUUAGGCUUAGUUUGGUAUUGAGCUCUAUCUGACGCUGUUAAAUAAAAUAAAGUUAGGAAAAAAGCAUAUAGGAAUAUGCUUAUGCGUUCUCCGGGAAGACCGUAGAAAAUAUAUUAUAACGAACUCAUCGCAGUAUGCGGAACGCAAUAUUACGUACAGAAACAAACAUAGUAUUUUUACAUCGAACUUUCUCACCGCACGUAACGCAAUCGCCCCGCAAUCCCUAACGAAGCCUUAAUUAAUUAUCUUCGGCCUGGACUCAGGCAUUGGGCUGGACUCGACAUUGGGCUUAAUUCCACACGUUUAACAUAAAGUAAAAAUCCUAGCUAAUAGCAAUCACUUUAAUUAACCAACUGAUAUUAAUGGACAAAUCUGAUAAAAAUAUAUUUAAAUAACUAAUACAGCAAUAUCUAAAUUUAUCAAAUAUAUUGGAUUACGUAUCAAUAUUCAUCUGUUAGUGAUGGGCCAGAAAAAAUACAGGAAAGAAUGUCUUCAAUGUAGACAUCUCAUUAUUUAUCAAAAUAAAGGCAUAUAUACAUGAUACAUGUGCACGCACGCAUUCAUCUUAAAAUGGAAUUUUUUUUUUUUUUUUUUUGGGGGGUGGGACUGCCGCGAUCAUAUUUUAAACAAACUUUAGUAGGGAUGUGGUCGGAUUCGAAGCAGAUUUUCGAAAACCCGAACCCAUACCCAACUCCAAACCCAAAAUUCGAAUCUGAAUCCGAACCCGACGGAUUUUAAAAACCCAUAUCCAAAUCCGUAUCCGAUCAAAAAUUUGAAAUCCGAACCUGAAAUAAUUAUUUCUCUUUUCAAUAUUUCAAAAUAUAUUAUAUUAAAACUAAAUUUUAAAAUACAACUUCAAAUAUAACAUCAAAUUUUUAUAUACAUAUAUAAUGUAAAACAAAUUAAUAUUUUUAUAUACAUAUAUAUAGAUAAGCAGAAAUAAAAAUAAUUUUGUAUUUCGAUAAAAAUUAUAUUGUUUUCAGGAAUUAUAAAAAAUAGCAUUUGAAUAGUUAGAUUGUAAUAAUGAGAAUAAGAGUAAUUAUAGUUUAAAAUAAUAAUAUUUUAUCUAAUUAGUUAAUAUAAAAGUAUUAAUUAAAUAAUAUUUUAUCUAAUUAGUUAAAAUAAAAAUAUUUACCUAAUUAAUUAAUAUCGAAUAUUAAUUAAUAAUUUUAAUAUUUUAGUUCGAUAAGCCCGAAAUUAAUUUUUAAUUAGUUAGUAAAUUAUUGUCGUUAGAUAAUUAGUUAAGA